UUGCGCCCACAUCAUGUUCAAACCGGUUCCCUGUAUGAUCACUGAAGUUAAGUAACGUCGAGCCUGAUCAGUACGUAGAUGAGUGACCGCUUGGGAAUACCAAGUGUUGUAA